GCCUAUACAUGCAAGCGGGCGGCGUGCCUAUACAUGCAAGUCGAGCGGACAGAAGGGAGCUUGCUCCCGGAUGUUAGCGGCGGACGGGUGAGUAACACGUGGGUAACCUGCCUGUAAGACUGGGAUAACUCCGGGAAACCGGAGCUAAUACCGGAUAGUUCCUUGAACCGCAUGGUUCAAGGAUGAAAGACGGUUUCGGCUGUCACUUACAGAUGGACCCGCGGCGCAUUAGCUAGUUGGUGAGGUAACGGCUCACCAAGGCGACGAUGCGUAGCCGACCUGAGAGGGUGAUCGGCCACACUGGGACUGAGACACGGCCCAGACUCCUACGGGAGGCAGCAGUAGGGAAUCUUCCGCAAUGGACGAAAGUCUGACGGAGCAACGCCGCGUGAGUGAUGAAGGUUUUCGGAUCGUAAAGCUCUGUUGUUAGGGAAGAACAAGUGCAAGAGUAACUGCUUGCACCUUGACGGUACCUAACCAGAAAGCCACGGCUAACUACGUGCCAGCAGCCGCGGUAAUACGUAGGUGGCAAGCGUUGUCCGGAAUUAUUGGGCGUAAAGGGCUCGCAGGCGGUUUCUUAAGUCUGAUGUGAAAGCCCCCGGCUCAACCGGGGAGGGUCAUUGGAAACUGGGAAACUUGAGUGCAGAAGAGGAGAGUGGAAUUCCACGUGUAGCGGUGAAAUGCGUAGAGAUGUGGAGGAACACCAGUGGCGAAGGCGACUCUCUGGUCUGUAACUGACGCUGAGGAGCGAAAGCGUGGGGAGCGAACAGGAUUAGAUACCCUGGUAGUCCACGCCGUAAACGAUGAGUGCUAAGUGUUAGGGGGUUUCCGCCCCUUAGUGCUGCAGCUAACGCAUUAAGCACUCCGCCUGGGGAGUACGGUCGCAAGACUGAAACUCAAAGGAAUUGACGGGGGCCCGCACAAGCGGUGGAGCAUGUGGUUUAAUUCGAAGCAACGCGAAGAACCUUACCAGGUCUUGACAUCCUCUGACAACCCUAGAGAUAGGGCUUUCCCUUCGGGGACAGAGUGACAGGUGGUGCAUGGUUGUCGUCAGCUCGUGUCGUGAGAUGUUGGGUUAAGAGUCGUAACAAG
rnacentral:rRNA from 1 species